rnacentral:tRNA from 1 species
GGAGAGGUGGCUGAGUGGCCGAAAGCGACGGUUUGCUAAACCGUUAUACGGGUUAAACCGUAUCGGGGGUUCGAAUCCCCCCCUCUCCGCCA